GUGGCACUAUCUACCAGAUGGCGUGCAGUCAACAGUGUAGUGAGAAUCAAAGUAACAGUCUCACCUCACCGUACUCCCCGCCUCCGGCCGGACUGUCACUGCCGCGCACUCUCUCAGGCUAACGUUAGCAGCUAGCUCCAAGUGUCCCUACAUCAACACAACCGUGGCAGGCGACGCGAACACGCCAGUACACACCGCGAGGCUGUCCCCCUGGAAGUCUGUCCGCGGAUAAGCCUCCUCUGUCCUCCAAACUGUCCUGUCGACUUCUUCGGUGAACUCCCUCUCGCCUAGUUUCGCUCAGGUUGGUGAAUAAAUCAUUCCACUCGCUGAUAGAGUCGGCAUGGCGGCGCAUCCGGGCUCCGAGCUGUAGUCCAAGAUGACUGGGGCGGAGAUCCGCGGCUGGGAGGAGAGCUCGUUUCUCUGGGAUAUUAUAAUAAGCCUGAUCCUCAUGCUGGUGUACAGCAGGGCUCCCACUUCUGACUAUAUCGCCGCUUAUCGAUUAAUAGAUGGAGGAGUGACUGUGUAUUAAACCCCAAGGUCAUAAGUAUGACAACCAUGGCUACAAUCCACAAACCAUUUGUUGGCUCUUUGGUGUUGAUGACAUCUCUAAAGUCAACUUCAAGGUAGAUCUGAUUCUAUCAUAACUACCCUGACGAGUUUCUGGACUAAGCCUGAAAUAAGAGCCCUGGUUGUGAACUCUUGGGCGAUUUUGAUAAAGUAUCAGGACCGAUUCUUCACACGUCCUUCUCCACAUAAUUGUGGUCGAUCACCACAACAUUGCAGCCCUUGAAAGUAUUUGAUCUGAAAGGCCAAUGUUGAAGAAACAGAUUGGUCCUUGUUUGAAGCAGCAAAUUAGCCAGUGCUUCUCAGGCCAAAACAAACUCUCCAGGUGACUGAGAGCUUAUAUUUGACCCACCUGUUGUCUGAAUCUGAUUCGUGAUCUGAAUGUUAACAUCCUGGUGGAGAGGUUUUAUCAUUAACGGUACAAACAAAUACAAUUGUAUACACAUAUGUUUCAUGCUUUAUGCAGAGUUACUACUUACAAUGGAGUCCAAACUAAGUACUUUGUUGAUCCUAUUCUAAUAAUCACAUUUCUAUAGAACAAAUAUAUCAGUAUAUUCUAACUCUAGGAUUUAAAUUCUUAGGUAUAUAUAUAUAGCAAAUAUUCUCGGUAUACUUUGCUGAUCCUUUGUUGCUUUGUAAGGCUAACAAAGUUUUUACGAGAGCUGCUGAAGGUCUGCAAAUGAUCAUGAUGUAAUGUUUUAUACGUGCAAUUUUAGGGAUGUUGUGUUCAUUUAUGUAAUUUCCUUCUGUGGAAACACACUCAACAAUUUCCAGACCAGUAUGUCUAGUGCAAGUUUACUAGAGUGAAACGCAGUGCGCAACUCCUCUCCAACAUCCCAUGCUUUAUACCAUUUAUGGCUAUAAAGUGUGAGGGGAGGACAUACAAUAUAUUACAUUAAAAAAGCAUUAAAUCGUAGAGAGGAGCCAUGUUCCAUAUUUCAUGUUCAGUUAGGGCCUGAAUACAACUUUUAUUCUGAGAUGAAUACAGCUUUAGAUUAAAUGUUUGUUUAUAUCAGAUUUUAGACUACACUGAAGGUUUAAAAAGAUGUAUGUACUUAAGUAUGUCACGGUACUGAUUAAAGAAAGGCUUCUCCAAUUCUAAUAACACGCCUCUUUAAUAACAAACAAAGCCUAUUCAGUGAUUGGUAAACUCCUCUUUGAUAAUGGGGAAAAUGCGUAUGAAGGGGCUUUCAAAUUCAAUUAACCAAUACAUAAAAUUAAGCCUGCGAGUGUUAGGUUAUUGUUAGUCAAGCAAAGAUAAUUGGUAUGAAUGCAGAUAAUGGAAAAGUGUACAAAUCACCCUUAACCAGAAAAGUCAAACGGCAAAGAAGUUUCAUUAGGAGCUGUAAUUGUAACUGAAAUGACGUAAUUAUUGAGUCAAGAAAGGACUAGAAAGCCUGAGGUGUGCUAUUCUCUACCUCUCUUCUAAUGAGCGAUAAGAAAAGAUGCAAUCUCCUCCUGAAUGGCCAAGAGGGGAUAUUCUGCAAGCUGCUCUCGAUUCUUAAUGACGAACCAGUCCUCACACUCUGCUUCAGGUGAUCUGAAUAACCCCCCUAUCAACUCAGGAGGAAAUGUGACUUGCCACUUAAAAAGUUUGGCGCAAGUGAAGUGACAACAAGGACUGAGGGACUGCCACAAGUACACGUCUGAUAAGUUAGUCCAAACUUAAAGUCUAUUUUAAUUUUUGUUAAGACAGAGAAAUUUAAACACCUGGCACUUUCCUGGAAAUUCUAGUUGUCCUCCACAUAGCCACUAGAGGGAGACACAAUAUGAGUUUAACAAAAUGCUGCACACCAUAGGACGUAAUCAUCUGCAGAAUUGCAACAAAACCGAAUAUUUAUUUCUGUCUCUCUCUUUCUUUGCUUCUCCUUUUUUUUACUUUUACUUUGUGGUGGCAAUAAUGAUGAUUUAAUUACCUCAGUGCUGCAAAUGUGUAACUAAAGCAACUCAGCUUUCCCAAGAAGUCAGUUUAUUUUGCAAUAGAUUCCUUUCUUGGUUGUUGUGUGAUCAUGAGAAGUCCUCACAUUGUGUUUGGUAUGACUGAUGGGUCGAAACAACAGAUUGGCUUCAUUCCACCCAGAGAGAGACUCCAGCUCAACCAUCUGCAGCUGUAGCAACAGGAGAGUUUAUGUUUUUAGGUAAACGUUGCCUCCAGUGGAAAGAAAUGCAUACACUGCCAGCCAGUUUCUCUAUUGAUACUAGAGGUUGGAAUUUUGGACUUUCUCUAAAUCAUCAGGGGUUCAUGAUGAACUGAGAAAUAGUUUAACCAGGUCCAAAAAUAUUUUGGAUAAUCUUUUGUAUUAGUUUUUAUUUUUAAAGUGAUGCUUAACAUUUUGUUUUCUAACACAAAUAUUCCCAACAUGUGUAAAUACACUACUGCUGCUUUUACUUUAGCGUUCAAUAACGGCAGCUCCAGAUGUUUGUUUUUAUUAAACACCCAGUAUGUUUAUCCACUUCAAUUUGAGAUGAAUGCAGAUUAGAAACAUUUUACUGAUUUAACCACCUCCUGGCAUUUAAUCGUAAGGGGUUUAAUUUAAUUAAAAAAAGAGCCACCAUACGAUGUAUACACUAAAAUGCAUCAAUCCUGCUAAAGAACAGAAGCAAAAACA